UACGUAGGGGGCUAGCGUUGUCCGGAUUUAUUGGGCGUAAAGAGCGUGUAGGCGGCCAGAUAGGUCUGCUGUGAAAACUCGAGGCUCAACCUCGAGAUGUCGGCGGAAACCAUUUGGCUAGAGUCCGGAAGAGGAAAGUGGAAUUCCUGGUGUAGCGGUGAAAUGCGCAGAUAUCAGGAAGAACACCCGUGGCGAAGGCGGGUUGCUGGGCCGACACUGACGCUGAUGCGCGAAAGCCAGGGGAGCGAACGGG
rnacentral:rRNA from 1 species